CUUAAAUUGAAGAGUUUGAUCAUGGCUCAGAUUGAACGCUGGCGGCAGGCCUAACACAUGCAAGUCGAGCGGUAACGAGUUUCAAAAGCUUGCUUUUGAAGAUGACGAGCGGCGGACGGGUGAGUAAUGCCUAGGAAAUUGCCCUGAUGUGGGGGAUAACCAUUGGAAACGAUGGCUAAUACCGCAUGAUGCCUACGGGCCAAAGAGGGGGAACUUAGGGCCUCAGGCG
rnacentral:rRNA from 1 species